rnacentral:lncRNA from 1 species
UAUCCGAAGAUGUAAGCUUCCGCUAAAACGUAUACACUUAUUACUAAACCAUCGCUUAAGUUGAGUAAAGUAAGUAGCAUUCCGAUCCAUUAAGAGUCGGGGCUUAUACUAUCUAUGACGUAAAACCUAAGUGUGGGGAUUUGAAGGACACUUUGAUAGUCAACUAAGCUAACCCAACAAAAUUCGAGUUUUUUCUAGACUAGACCUUCGGGAGGUGGAGAGUGAGUCUUCUUUUAUUUCCCCUCGUUUUCAUAUUAAUAAUUUAAUUAUUAAUAAAAAAAAAAGAAACCCUUCUCCAUCGUUAUGGAGUUCUUCUGCUCUAAUCUCAAAAAUAGAAGGUCAGCUGACUGAGGUUGCUUUGUUCCUUAUAGCACUGUGUCAAGUUCUCCUUUCAUUGGUCUCGGGUGAAGUAUCAAUUUUUCAGAUACUAACUUUGUCUUUUCUCAUCUGUCGUCCUUUGGGUUGAAUUUCUUUGACUUAACAGUUGCGUGAGUGUGGCCACUUACUGACGGAGCUCUUCAAAGGCUUCGGUUGUGACGAUCGCCGGCAGAGGUGCGGGCACUCCAGAUGACUCUUCUUAAGGAGCUGGUUGAUCUUCAGCAGGAUGAGGGAUGAGAGCGGAUGAGCUUGCGGGAGGAAGACCUGAUCGCGUGUUAACCACGGCUUUUAGUAGCGCUUCCCACAGACGGCGCCAAUAAUACUACCAAAAAUCGUACCUGUUGAUUUUUCGAACUUAAGGAUUUUGGAUGAGUAUGAUCGUAGUCUUUCGGUACCUGAAAUAAAGGCAACGAGGUAUGUUCUCGUCGCUCCUCCAAUGCUUAAGUCAGAAACUGAAUUAUGUGCGUGAGACUAUAAACUGAAAAUAAUGAGAAUGUACCUUAAUAAUGGCUCAAGGUUCUGUAUUUAUAGAGGUGCAUGGUGCUUCCUG